UUUCGCCUUUUUAUCAAAACAUGUCUGUAUGGUUGUUAUAUAGAGUCUAGCCUGCCCACUGAUAUUAUUAAAGGGCCGCGGUAUUUUGACCGUGCGAAGGUAGCAUAAUCAUUAGUCUUUUAAUUGGAGGCUUGUAUGAAUGGUUGGACAAAAAGUUAACUGUCUCAUUUAUAUAAAUUGAAUUUAACUUUUAAGUGAAAAGGCUUAAAUGAACUGAAGGGACGAUAAGACCCUAUAAAGCUUUACAAUAAAUAAAUUAAAUUAUAAAUUAUUAGUUUAACUUAAUUUAAUUUGUGUUUGUUUCGUUGGGGCGACGAGAAUAUAAUAAUAACUGUUCUUUUAUAAAAUUAACAAAAUUAAUUGGAUAAUAAUUGAUCCUUUAAUAAAGAUUAAAAGAUUAAGUUACUUUAGGGAUAACAGCGUAAUCUUCUUUGAGAGUUCAGAUCGACAAGAAGGGUUGCGACCUCGAUGUUGAAUUAAGGGAUCCUUACAAUGCAGCAGUUGUAAAGGAAGGUCUGUUCGACCUUUAAAUCCUUACAUGAUUUGAGUUCAGACCGGCGUAAGCCAGGUUGGGUUUCUAUCUAAA
rnacentral:rRNA from 1 species